CUAGACCUUUCUGUUCUUCUUCCCACCAUCAUCACCACAAUGAAAAUCUCUCAACACAAAAGGUCUAAUCAAAAAGAGAGAGUUCUCGGGGCGCCUGGGUGGCGCAGUCGGUUAAGCGUCCGACU